rnacentral:lncRNA from 1 species
AACUCCAAAUUGUUCCCAUUGUUGGGAUAGCAUAACGGUAAGCCUACUCUUGCUAUUUAUAAAUCGAUGCAGCCUGCUAUAAAAAACAUUCGAUCUAUUUACAAGUAUCAAAAGUUAUCCACACCAUCUUAUUUACUCCCAAAAUAGGAGGUUAUAUUCAACAUGUCAAGCAUUCAGUAACAGAGGCAAAUACCAAGCGCCAGCUCCAUAAUACAUUUGACAUUAAAUAACAAAAGGUAAAAAAAAUUAAUCUAUAUGCAGGUUUACAUAAUAAACAGCAUAUGAUAUUCAGGGCUUCAAAAACAUGUGAUUGCCCUAACAAAGUAAUAAUGCUGAUUACUUUUAAGUCUUCAACAAACAACAUUCAGAGAACAAAAGCAUAAAAAAACUCCCUGCGUAUGGUAUGUUCACAUACCACGUUAAGGGAAUGGAGCAUGCUUUGCCCAUCGAAGGAUGUUCCAAAGGGGCUCCUUUUUCCUUCUAGUGAGAUCUGUCUCAUUUCUCUUCAGCAUAUUCCACAAGAUGUGGACAUCUUCAUACUCACAUGUCCUAAUAUCUUGGCGAAGCUUUACUAGUCCUGAAAUAUUCGAGAAAUUUGAUUUCACGUGGUAGUUUAAUGUUCCAAGAUUCACAUUUGGACCAUAAACAAUGAAAGCUUGGAACAAAUCAACAUACGACCACCACAUAGAUGAUGUGUAUGUUGACUAAAAUUUAAAUAAGUAAACGUAUACUCUAUUUAAUUUAAUAGUUUGAGUUACAGGAAGAGGUAGUUCAACAAGAUGAAUGUUUGUCUAAUAUCAAGAUUUCCAAAAGAGUGAAUGCUUCUGGUAAUAAAUUUUCACUACCAAACUAUAGUAAGUGUGAACCACCCCUCUGAUGGAAAUUUCAUCUUCUUAUUGAUAACUAAAUGUCAAUUGCUUAAUAGAGAAUAAAGAAUGUUUGAUAAAAAACAAAGAUAACAAGCCUUAUCCGAGUCUAUAUCAAAAGAUAUGUCAUCAUUUCAUCAAAUUUAGCCUGCAUAUUAACAGCACAAGAAGAUGUAGCACAAGUGCCUUCCUUGACAGUAUCAUGAACUUAAUCCAUAUGGACAGGUAACUCUAUUUGACUACUUAACUAAUUGAUUAUGUAACAAUAACAUAGCAAACUAAACAUUGUUUUAAAUAAUUUGAAUCAACUAAUUGAAACUUUUUCCCUCCCACCGCCUUUACCAAAUUGAUUAUAUAAGUGCUCUAAAAAGAUUAGGGUUCUAGACAGUGGCGGAUCCAGUGCCUGACGAGCGCCGACGGCCACACGUGCUGGAUCUGUUGAUACCAAUUUUUCCUUUUUUUUGACAAUAAAUAAAAGUUUUAGGUUAUAAGGAGCACCAGGGAUUGAAUCUCUUUUAAACCAAUUUAUUGUCAACAACCGUCCAUGCUCAUUCAAAAUUCUGGAUCCAUUUUAGAUCCCCUUGUAUUACAUAUUAUUAUAAGAUGAGACCCACGCGAAUGAUUAAUUACAAUAUUCCUAAUAAACAACCAUUCUGAUAUUUCCAACAGUUUAAUCA